rnacentral:lncRNA from 1 species
AGGUGGCAGUGAAGGACUAGUGAUGCCUUAAAGCCUUGAAGGCCACCGAGGAUGGACCUCUCCCUGGUGGAGUCUUCCUGUGUGGAGACAGGAUCCAUUCCAAAGAGAGCUCCCACCACAGGCUCUACUCGAUCUACGCAGCACAGCAAGGUCCUGGACCUACAAGGUGGCUUCUGCAGAGAGCUGGGUAAAUCAGAUGCCCCAAAUCCAUCUUUCUGACGAUUUUAAAUGAGGACAGUACACACCAGUCAUUAGGACUAAAAUCCAUCAUGCUCACUUGAAGCUGCUGCAUCAGUUCCCACCUAGAGAAGCAGAAGUCAGUGGAGGCUUGGCAGGAAAGCAGUGCCAAUGUUCACCACCGAGAUCUAAAGAGAACCUAAUGCUGAUUGCUAAGGAAAUGGGAAAAUGCAAACCAAACCAAAAAUAAAAAUAAAAAUGGAAUUAAAAU